rnacentral:rRNA from 1 species
CCUACGGGAGGCUGCAGUGAGGAAUAUUGGUCAAUGGACGAGAGUCUGAACCAGCCAAGUAGCGUGAAGGAUGACUGCCCUAUGGGUUGUAAACUUCUUUUAUAUGGGAAUAAAAUGUUCCACGUGUGGGAUUUUGUAUGUACCAUAUGAAUAAGGAUCGGCUAACUCCGUGCCAGCAGCCGCGGUAAGACGGAGGAUCCGAGCGUUAUCCGGAUUUAUUGGGUUUAAAGGGAGCGUAGGUGGAUUGUUAAGUCAGUUGUGAAAGUUUGCGGCUCAACCGGAAAAUUGCAGUUGAAACUGGCAGUCUUGAGUACAGUAGAGGUGGGCGGAAUUCGUGGUGUAGCGGUGAAAUGCUUAGAUAUCACGAAGAACUCCGAUUGCGAAGGCAGUUCACUGGACUGCAACUGACACUGAGGCUCGAAAGUGUGGGUAUCAAACAGGAUUAGAUACCCUUGUAGUC